UACAGAGGUCUCAAGCGUUUGUUCGGAUUCAUUGGGCGUAAAGGGUGCGUAGGCGGCGCGGUAAGUCGGGUGUGAAAUCUUGGAGCUUAACUCCGAAACUGCAUUCGAUACUGCCGUGCUUGAGGACUGGAGAGGAGACUGGAAUUUACGGUGUAGCGGUGAAAUGCGUAGAUAUCGUAAGGAAGACCAGUGGCGAAGGCGGGUCUCUGGACAGUUCCUGACGCUGAGGCACGAAGGCCAGGGGAGCAAACGGG
rnacentral:rRNA from 1 species